ACGGAAGGCAGCAGUGGGGAAUAUUGCACAAUGGGCGAAAGCCUGAUGCAGCGACGCCGCGUGAGUGAAGAAGUAUCUCGGUAUGUAAAGCUCUAUCAGCAGGGAAGAAAAUGACGGUACCUGACUAAGAAGCCCCGGCUAACUACGUGCCAGCAGCCGCGGUAAUACGUAGGGGGCAAGCGUUAUCCGGAUUUACUGGGUGUAAAGGGAGCGUAGACGGUUUGGCAAGUCUGAAGUGAAAUGCGGGGGCUCGACUCCUGAACUGCUUUGGAAACUGUCGAACUAGAGUGCAGGAGAGGUAAGUGGAAUUCCUAGUGUAGCGGUGAAAUGCGUAGAUAUUAGGAGGAACACCAGUGGCGAAGGCGGCUUACUGGACUGUAACUGACGUUGAGGCUCGAAAGCGUGGGGAGCAAACAGGAUUAGAUACCCUGGUA
rnacentral:rRNA from 1 species